UUGAUUUGAUUGUUCCUCCUCAACAUUUGUGGCUGGAUCCACCGGUGACUGGAACACUUUCACGAAGGAGAAAAAAUGGAGUGCGUUUCAUAUUUGUGAAAUUGACUUACGCGCGUGUGUUCAUUUUUAGUUACUCGAAAACCUACAAAUAGUUCAUUCCGUGGUACAGUCGAACCUGCAUUUAGCAACACUGUAUUAAGCGGUCACCCUGUAUAAUCGGUCGGUUGUCAAAGUUCCGAAAUUGGAAUUAUUGUCCUUAUCACCUAUAUUAGGAGGUUGCGGUCACCAUUUACUGAGUGCGUUCAUUUCGUAUUCGAUCGACCAGUUAAUCCUGUAAUUGGUUUUCUCUAAUCUCCUUAAUCAUGUCUCCUUGACUUUGAUAUUUGAAGGAGGAAUUCUGUGUUGGUCACUCAUGGGAGUUAAAAAAAAUUAACAGUGACUAUUUUCAAAAUAGUCGCUGUUAAUUUUCAGUGUAAAUGCAAGUCAAAAUACAAGAAAACUUGAUGCAGCCAUUAGACAUGGGCACAGAAAAAAAAACAAAACUCCAAACAUUGCAAUAAACAAUGUAAUUGCUGGCAUUUUAAUUAGUAACAAAUUAAAGCAUUUUUCGUCAGUACAAAUUAUGUUUAAACAUAUAGUCUGUACUAAUCAGCCGUUCAGUAUUAAGUAACAAGAUUUGCGAAAAGGUGUUUGCUGAUAAUUUCACCGACAACUUAAUUGUAUUUUUUUUUCAGUGGAUGUCACGGCUUUAGCCCAAGUGCCACCCUGCUGAAGUUUCAUAGUUUGUUGCAAUGGCUACGUCCCAAGUAAACAUGCAACAACUGGAAGAUAACAACAGACGGAAGGAGCUAAUAAAUUCAAAACUUCAAAUCCCCCUUUACCCUUAAAGGGCAAUUGAGAGGAAAAGGAGAAAUUAUCCAAAUUUGUUGUAAAUUAUCUUUAUGAAAAUCAAAUGCAUUAUGUAAUAUGCCUCAAAUAUUAUUGUCAAUUACAGAUAUUACUGACUA